AUGACUUUGAUCUGCAUCCUCAUCUGGACUCUCCUCUGCUGCUGCUUCACAGAGUCCAGAGGACAGAUCACAGUGACUCAGCCUGGAGCAGUGAGCUCUGCUGUGGGAGGAUCUGUGAGCAUCAAGUGUACGACCAGUCAGGAUGUUUAUGGCAACAACCAUUUGGCCUUGUACCAACAGAAAGAUGGAGGAACUCUCAAACGCUGUAUAUUUUCAAACAUGAACAUUGUUAAAAUGAUUUGGUCGAUGUUUCAAGGAAGCAAGAUGAACAGCAAUUUUACUUUAACCUUUGCAAAGAUCCAAGGUGGUGAUUCAGAGGUUUUUGUACGGCGGCUCAAUGAGUUUGUAUCACUGUGGUGGACUUUUGGUGGAGGAACCAGACUGCAAGUUGGAAGUGAUGCCCGCCCCGCCCUGAAGGUGCUGGGUCCCUCCAGUGAGGAGCUGAAACAGGGGAAGGCUACAGUCAUGUGUGUGGCCAACAAGGGCUUCCCCUCAGACUGGAGUCUGUCCUGGAAGGUGGAUGGCAGUGGCAGCAUCAGCUGGGAGGAGAGCAGGAGCCCCGUGGUGCAGGAGAACGACGGCCUCUACAGCUGGAGCAGCACCCUGAGGCUCCCUGCAGACCACUGGAUGAAGGUGGGCUCUGUGACCUGUGAGGCCACCCAGGGCUCCCACACUGUGGUCUCAGAGCCACUGAUGAGAGACCAGUGUCCCCAGUCCUGACCUGACUAACUGUGACUUUCAUGCUGGUCUUACUUUCAGUCUGCACUCUGUAGCUUUAAAAAAAAAAAUCGAAUUUCUUCUCUCAUUUUUCAUUGCUUUGUUUAAAGUUUAAAGUUUGUUUAAAGU